CGCAAGCGUCGCUGCUCCAGCGCUACCUUCAGGGUACCCACGGAAUUCUGGGACGCCGAGGAGUUCGAAAAAGCUCGUGUCGCGUCUGGCGUCCCGUAAUCGUGUGAAUUUGUGCUCAAUUUAAUGGUUUUUCGUAAGAAACUCGAUCCCUGGAGUUAGCAUUCGCAUGUGCGUGCUCCAGUGUUGGAAAGUAGUGGUUCUACGAUGUCGAGAAUCAUCGCCGACAGAGCCAGUGUCGUGUGGGGUCGACCAGGAGAGCAGAUUCGACAGAUUCUACACAAUUUGGAAGCAUCGAGCGAUCGUGGGACAUAUCACGCCGAGACCACAUCGAGAUCCGUGAACGUCGGUCAGUAGGAAUUGUGUCGUUGUCGAUGAGGUGACGGCAACGCAACGGUGCCAAAGCUCCGGAUUUUUUUAUAAAAAUUUAUGCAGCA